AAUCAAGCGCGAGAAGGGCGUUUGGUGAAUGCCUUGGCAGCAAGAGGCGAUGAAGGACGUGAUACUCUGCGAUAAGUCAUGGGGAGCCGAGAAUAGGCCUUGAUCCAUGAAUUUCCGAAUGGGGCAACCCACCUGAUACUCUGUUAUAAUUGCCUUGCGGCAGCUUAUAAUGGGGUAAACCAGGUACUUCAUACCUGAAUACAUAGGGUUUGAAGAGCAAACCCGGGGAACUGAAACAUCUAAGUACCCGGAGGAAAGGACAUCAAUUGAUACUCCCCUAGUAGCGGCGAGCGAACGGGGACCAGCCGAGCCUUGAGAGUGAUCAGAAUGUGUUGGGAAGCACAGCCAUAGUGGGUGAUAGCCCCGUAUGAGAAGCUCGAUGGGACGUAUUAAGUAGGGCGGGACACGUGAAAUCCUGUCUGAAGAUCGGAGGACCACCUUCGAAGGCUAAGUACUCCUUGCUGACCGAUAGUGAACCAGUACCGUGAGGGAAAGGUGAAAAGCACCCCGACGAGGGGAGUGAAACAGUACCUGAAACCGAACGCCUACAAUCAGUCGGAGCUUCCUUGCGAAGUGACGGCGUACCUUUUGUAUAAUGGGUCAUCGACUUGGUCUAUCUAGCAAGCUUAAGCCGUUAGGUGUAGGCGCAGCGAAAGCGAGUCUUAAUAGGGCGCAGAGUUAGAUGGAUCAGACCCGAAACCGAGUGAUCUAGCCAUGACCAGGAUGAAGGUAAGGUAACACUUACUGGAGGUCCGAACCCACACCUGUUGAAAAAGGUCGGGAUGAGUUGUGGCUAGGGGUGAAAGGCUAAUCAAACUCGGAAAUAGCUGGUUCUCCGCGAAAUCUAUUUAGGUAGAGCGUCAUCCGAAUACCCCGGGGGGUAGAGCACUGGAUGGGUAAUGGGGCCCCACAGGCUUACUGAUCCUAACCAAACUCCGAAUACCCGGGAGUACUAGAUGGCAGACACACUGCGGGUGCUAACGCCCGUAGUGGAGAGGGAAACAACCCUGACCUCCAGCUAAGGCCCCCAAUUCAUGGCUAAGUGGGAAAGCAGGUGGGACGACCAAAACAACCAGGAGGUUGGCUUAGAAGCAGCCAUCCUUUAAAGAUAGCGUAACAGCUCACUGGUCUAAUCAAGUUGUCCUGCGGCGAAGAUGUAACGGGGCUCAAGCCAUGAGCCGAAGCUGAGGAUGCGCAUAGCGCAUGGUAGCGGAGCGUAGUGUGACAUAGCACUGAUCUUUACUAUCGCACAUUGGAAGGCUGGGUACGUGCAAACGUGCUCAAGUAGCCGAUAGGCGGUAGCACAAGAUCAUGUGCUUUCGAUGAAGCCGGGGCGUGAGCCAUCCGGUGGAGAGAUCACUAGCGAGAAUGAUGACAUGAGUAGCGACAAAGAGUGUGAGAGACACUCUCGCCGAAAGUCCAAGGGUUCCUGCUUAAAGCUAAUCUGAGCAGGGUAAGCCGGCCCCUAAGGCGAGGCCGAAAGGCGUAGUCGAUGGGAACCAGGUUAAUAUUCCUGGGCCAGAAGGAUGUGACGGAUCGUGGCGACGCAUGUUCCUUAUCGGAUUGGAGCAUGUUCAAGACGGUUCCUGGAAAUAGCCCUUCAUGAGACCGUACCCUAAACCGACACAGGUGGACUGGUAGAGAAUACCAAGGCGCUUGAGAGAACGAUGUUGAAGGAACUCGGCAAAAUACCUCCGUAAGUUCGCGAGAAGGAGGCCCGGUACAUGAGUGCCGGGGGCACAAACCAGGGGGUGGCGACUGUUUAUUAAAAACACAGGGCUCUGCGAAGUCGCAAGACGACGUAUAGGGUCUGACGCCUGCCCGGUGCCUGAAGGUUAAAAGGAGGGGUGAGAGCUCUGAAUUGAAGCCCAGGUAAACGGCGGCCGUAACUAUAACGGUCCUAAGGUAGCGAAAUUCCUUGUCGGGUAAGUUCCGACCUGCACGAAUGGCGUAACGACUUCCCCGCUGUCUCCAACAUCGACUCAGCGAAAUUGAAUUGCCUGUCAAGAUGCAGGCUUCCCGCGGUUAGACGGAAAGACCCCGUGCACCUUCACUACAGCUUCGCACUGGCUUCAGACACAACAUGUGCAGGAUAGGUGGUAGGCUUCGAAGCAGGGACGCCAGUCUCUGUGGAGCCUCCCUUGAGAUACCACCCUUGUUCUGUUUGAAGUCUAACCGCGGUCCGUUAUCCGGAUCCGGGACCCUGCGUGGUGGGUAGUUUGACUGGGGCGGUCGCCUCCUAAAGCGUAACGGAGGCGCGCGAAGGUUGGCUCAGAGCGGUCGGAAAUCGCUCGUUGAGUGCAAUGGCAUAAGCCAGCCUGACUGCGAGACUGACAAGUCGAGCAGAGACGAAAGUCGGCCAUAGUGAUCCGGUGGUCCCAAGUGGGAGGGCCAUCGCUCAACGGAUAAAAGGUACGCCGGGGAUAACAGGCUGAUACUGCCCAAGAGUCCAUAUCGACGGCAGUGUUUGGCACCUCGAUGUCGGCUCAUCUCAUCCUGGGGCUGGAGCAGGUCCCAAGGGUAUGGCUGUUCGCCAUUUAAAGAGGUACGUGAGCUGGGUUUAGAACGUCGUGAGACAGUUCGGUCCCUAUCUGCCGUGGGUGUAGGAUACUUGAGAGGAGUUGCCCCUAGUACGAGAGGACCGGGGUGAACGAACCACUGGUGGACCAGUUGUCGUGCCAACGGCAGUGCUGGGUAGCUAUGUUCGGACAGGAUAACCGCUGAAGGCAUCUAAGCGGGAAGCCCCCCUCAAAACAAGGUAUCCCUGAGGACCGUGGAAGACCACCACGUCAAUAGGCCGGAGAUGUAAGUGCAGCAAUGCAUUCAGUUGACCGGUACUAAUCGUCCGAUAGGCUUGAUUUG
rnacentral:rRNA from 1 species